UACGAAGGGAGCUAGCGUUGUUCGGAAUCACUGGGCGUAAAGCGCACGUAGGCGGACUCUUAAGUCAGGGGUGAAAUCCUGGAGCUCAACUCCAGAACUGCCUUUGAUACUGGGAGUCUUGAGUUCGGGAGAGGUGAGUGGAACUGCGAGUGUAGAGGUGAAAAUUCGUAGAUAUUCGCAAGAACACCAGUGGCGAAGGCGGCUCACUGGCCCCGGUAUGA
rnacentral:rRNA from 1 species